CACCUGCUCACACCCCUCUGGCUGUAUGUGUGUGUGUGUGUGUUGACUUCCUCUGUCUUGUCACAGCUGGAAUGUCAUCUCUCUUCAUCUGCUGCCCUGCAAUUACAGACAGACACAGAGACAGGAAAGGAUGCACAUUGGACACAUCCCUGUCUGAAUAAUCAAUGGGUUAAUCGUGCUCCUGUCGUAUUAUGGCCGGGAUGCUAUCGAAAGCUAUUUGCACCACGCAGGAGGCUAAUGACCCUGAGCUGAUGCUCGCUGUUCGGCCACGAGCGCCGAUCAAGCGAAGGGACGGCGUGGCGCAGUGAGAUAGUGGCCGUGCGCAACCCGAGGGUCCCUGGUUCAAAUCCCACCUUGUACCAACUUCGUCACGUCCGUUGUGUCCUGAGCAAGACACUUCACCCUUGCUCCUGAUGGGUGCUGGUUGGCGCCUUGCAUGGCAGCUCCCUCCAUCAAUGUGUGAAUAUGUGUGUGAAUGGGUAAAUGUGGAAGUAGUGUCAAAGCGCUUUGAGUACCUUGAAGGUAGAAAAGCGCUAUACAAGUACAACCCAUUUAUCAUUUAUUAUUUACUUCGAGCAUGAAAAAAAAUCAUGAUUUUGACGCAAUUGUGUCUCAUAUUAAAACAGAUGACAGCCGAAUGGACUUGGCUGUUUUAUUUUCAAUGAAACAAUAGAAAAUACAUACUCAUAUAGUAAGUAAUACACUUGUUAUUAGUGAGAAUUUACUUAUUUUAAGGUAUUUUGGGGUUCAUUGAGGUUAGGUAAUUUUACUUAUUUUGGAAAGUCUUGACAAGCUAAAUUUUCUUGUUCUAUUGGCAGAUAAUUUUGCUUGGUUCAAAUAAAAUACCCCUCAUUGUUGUA